CAGUCGUACCGGCGGAUAAUCAGCCUUUCGGGUGCGAUUCUGUGGGGCGUGAGGAGUUUAACCGCCUUCAUGUUUUGCAUAUUCGUGCUCUUGGGUGUACUUGCUCGUAUGGUUGGUUAACAUCAAUUUUGGUGGUCAUAAAAUGACUGGAGGAAUGCAGCUUCGAUCUCGUAUUGAAGUGUUAUAGCCUUCGGUAGAUGUGAUGAUCGAG
rnacentral:rRNA from 1 species